rnacentral:rRNA from 1 species
GAUGAACGCUGGCGGCGUGCCUAAUACAUGCAAGUCGAGCGAACAGACGAGGAGCUUGCUCCUCUGACGUUAGCGGCGGACGGGUGAGUAACACGUGGAUAACCUACCUAUAAGACUGGGAUAACUUCGGGAAACCGGAGCUAAUACCGGAUAAUAUAUUGAACCGCAUGGUUCAAUAGUGAAAGACGGUUUUGCUGUCACUUAUAGAUGGAUCCGCGCCGCAUUAGCUAGUUGGUAAGGUAACGGCUUACCAAGGCAACGAUGCGUAGCCGACCUGAGAGGGUGAGCGGCAACACUGGAACUGAGACACGGUCCAGACUCCGACGGGAGGCAGAAGUAGGGAAGCUUCCGCAAGGGGCGAAAGCCUGACGGAGCAACGCCGCGUGAGUGAUGAAGGUCUUAGGAGAGUAAAACUCUGUUAUGAGGGAAAAAAAAAUGUGUAAGUAACUAUGCACGUCUGGACGGUACCUAAUCAGAAAGCCACGGCUAACUACG